ensembl:lncRNA
CGCGAGCGCGCGCGCGCCCAGGUGUCCGCUGGAUUUCCUUGCGUCGAGCGCUGCCUUGUGGCUUGGGAACUAGGCAGAACCGAACCGAGGAAAGCGCAAAAGAGCUCUGAAAGCGAGAGGCGUUUAAUGGCGUAUCGCCUAAGAACAUUUGGGAAAAACUAUCUCACACAUUGAACUUGACGGAGCAACUUUCUAAAUGACUUGAAAGCUGGACUUCCAUCACCUCCAACUUAUAUGCAGAGUACAUCAUGUGAAAUGCCAGGCUGGGUGAAGCACAAGCUGGAAUCAAGAUUGCUGGGAGAAAUAUCAAUAACCUCAGAUAUGCAGAUGACACCACCCUUAUGGCAGCAAGAAAAAAGAGGAACUGAAGAGCCUUUUGAUGAAAAUGAAAGAGGAGAGUGAAAAAGCUGGCUUAAAACUCAACAUUCAUUGAUGCUUCCUAAGACCCACCUAACUUCAGACUCCAGAAUGUCUGGCUCUGGCCCCAUGGACUGUAGCCUGUUUCUCUGUCCACGGAAUUCUUCAGGCAAGAAUAUUGGAGUGAGUUGCUGUUUCCUCUUCCCGGGGCCCGACGGAUUGAACCUGUGUCUCUUGUGUCUCCUGCAUUGGUAGGUGGAUUCUCUAUCACUAGUGCCAUCUAG